rnacentral:rRNA from 1 species
UAGAGUUUGAUCCUUUGCUCAGAUUGAACGUGGCGGCAUGCCUUACACAUGCAAGUCGAACGGCAGCACAGUGUGUAGCAAUACACAUGGGUGGCGAGUGGCGGACGGGUGAGUAAUGCUUAGGAAUCUGCCCAAUGGUGGGGGAUAACUAACCGAAAGGUUAGCUAAUACCGCAUACGCCUUUACGGGGAAAGCGGGGGAUCGAAAGACCUCGCGCCGAUGGAUGAGCCUAAGUCCGAUUAGCUAGUUGGUAGGGUAAUGGCCUACCAAGGCGACGAUCGGUAGCUGGUCUGAGAGGACGGCCAGCCACACUGGAACUGAGACACGGUCCAGACUCCUACGGGAGGCAGCAGUGGGGAAUAUUGGACAAUGGGGGAAACCCUGAUCCAGCAAUGCCGCGUGUGUGAAGAAGGCCUGCGGGUUGUAAAGCACUUUCGGUUGGGAAGAAAAGUUUGGCGCUAAUACCGCCGAACCUGACGUACUGACAGAAGAAGCACCG